ensembl:lncRNA
CAAAGACCUUGGAAAAUCUCCCUGCCUCCAGCAGCUCAUCCUUCCCUCUCUAACAUACUUACUCCUUGCAGGCUGUCCCAGCUCCUCAUAGCCAUCUGCCACCACUGGCAGGUGAGGAGCGAGGAAGAGGAGCCAAGCGGGGACAGGAGAAGAAGGUCACAGUGGGGGCGGCGGGGAAGAUGGCUGUGCUCUUCACAGAAUCACAGAAUUUUAAAGGUUGCAAGGGACCUCUGGAGAUCAUUUAGUCCAAGACUCCUGCUAACGAAGGUUCCUUAGAACAGGUUGCAGAGGAAAGCCUCCAGGGUCAGUGACUAUGGUAAGAAGAAAAUGAAGAAAAGAUGUGCAACUGCAUUCCUCCAUAUGAAAAAAAAUGGCACCCACUGACAUUCAUCAACAGUUGCUGAGCAUUUAUGGAGACCAAACUGGAUGUGAGCAAUGUGAGCAAUGACAGUGAGGCAAUGGGUGGUGUGUUUCUGCAGUGGUGACGGUGACAGUGGGUCACCUUCUGGUGCAGACUUUUAAGAGAGUAGAAUGAGGUUCUUGUUCAUCACUGGUGAAAAUGCAUAGCUAGUGGUGGUGACUGUGUCAAAAAUAAUGCUUUUUAGCUGAGAAUAUGCUCUAUUAAAUACUG